rnacentral:rRNA from 1 species
AUUCGGAGGAAAAGAAACUAACAAGGAUUCCCCUAGUAGCGGCGAGCGAAGCGGGAAGAGCUCAAAUUUGUAAUCUGGCACCUUCGGUGUCCGAGUUGUAAUCUCGAGAAGUGUUUUCCGCGCCAGACCGCAUACAAGUCUGUUGGAAUACAGCGUCAUGGUGGGUGAGAACCCCGUACUGAUGCGGAUGCCUGGUGCUCUGUGAUACACUUUCGAAGAGUCGAGUUGUUUGGGAAUGCAGCUCAAAUUGGGUGGUAAAUUCCAUCUAAAGCUAAAUAUUGGCGAGAGACCGAUAGCGAACAAGUACCGUGAGGGAAAGAUGAAAAGCACUUUGGAAAGAGAGUUAACAGUACGUGAAAUUGUUGGAAGGGAAACGCUUGAAGUCAGACUUGCUGUUUGGAGUUCAGCCGCAAGGUGUAUUCUUCAAUUCGCAGGCCAGCAUCAGUUUUCGGGGGCGGAAAAGGGUCUUGAGAAGGUAGCAGUCUCGGCUGUGUUAUAGCUCUUGGCUGGAUUCGCCCUUGGGGACUGAGGAACGCAGCGCGCUUUUAGCAAGGUCUUUGGGCCUAACGCGCUUAGGAUGCUGGUGGAAUGGCUUUAAACGACCCGUCUAAAAAC